rnacentral:rRNA from 1 species
UGGGGAAUUUUGGACAAUGGGGGAAACCCUGAUCCAGCCAUGCCACGUGUGUGAAGAAGGCCUUCGGGUUGUAAAGCACUUUCGGACGGAACGAAAUCGCACGGGUGAAUAUCCCGUGUGGAUGACGGUACCGUAAGAAGAAGCACCGGCUAACUACGUGCCAGCAGCCGCGGUAAUACGUAGGGUGCGAGCGUUAAUCGGAAUUACUGGGCGUAAAGUGUGCGCAGGCGGCUUCGCAAGUCGAGUGUGAAAUCCCCGGGCUUAACUUGGGAACGGCGCUCGAAACUACGGAGCUAGAGUAUGGCAGAGGAGGUGGAAUUCCACGUGUAGCGGUGAAAUGCGUAGAGAUGUGGAGGAACACCAAUGGCGAAGGCAGCCUCCUGGGCCAAUACUGACGCUCAUGCACGAAAGCGUGGGGAGCAAACAGGAUUAGAUACCCUGGUAGUCCCUGAGCGGGCUGGCAAGGCGCAU